UACGUAGGUGGCAAGCGUUGUCCGGAUUUACUGGGCGUAAAGAGCGCGCAGGCGGUCGAUUUAGUCGCGUGUGAAAGCCCCCGGCUCAACUGGGGAGGGUCACGCGAUACUGCUCGACUCGAAGGCAGGAGAGGGUAGUGGAAUUCCCGGUGUAGUGGUGAAAUGCGUAGAUAUCGGGAGGAACACCAGUGGCGAAGGCGACUACCUGGCCUGUUCUUGACGCUGAGGCGCGAAAGCUAGGGGAGCAAACGGG
rnacentral:rRNA from 1 species